rnacentral:rRNA from 1 species
GCAAGGUUGAAACUCAAAGGAAUUGACGGGGGCCCGCACAAGCGGUGGAGCAUGUGGUUCAAUUCGACGCAACGCGAAGAACCUUACCCAGGCUGGACAAGCUGGGAGUACGACCCUGAAAGGGGAAGGAGCCCGCAAGGCAACCAGCUCAGGUGCUGCAUGGCUGUCGUCAGCUCGUGCCGUGAGGUGUUGGGUUAAGUCCCGCAACGAGCGCAACCCUUGCCUUCAGUUGCCAGCGGGUCAUGCCGGGCACUCUGGAGGGACUGCCCAGGAGAACGGGGAGGAAGGUGGGGAUGACGUCAAGUCAGCAUGGCCUUUAUGCCUGGGGCCACACACGUGCUACAAUGACCGGUACAGAGGGCUGCAAACCCGUGAGGGGGAGCCAAUCCCAAAAAACCGGCCUCAGUUCAGAUUGAGGUCUGCAACUCGACCUCAUGAAGGCGGAAUCGCUAGUAAUCGCGGAUCAGCACGCCGCGGUGAAUACGUUCCCGGGCCUUGUACACACCGCCCGUCACACCACGAAAGCCUGUUGUACCUGAAGUCGCUGGAGCCAACCCGCGAGGGAGGUAGGCGCCCACGGUAUGGCAGGUGAUUGGGGUG